UACGGGGGGAGCAAGCGUUGUUCGGAUUUACUGGGCGUAAAGGGUGCGUAGGUGGUUUAUUAAGUUAUCUGUGAAAUCCCUGGGCUCAACCUGGGGUGGUCAGAUAAGACUGAUGGACUUGGAGUAUAGGAGAGGGUAGUGGAAUUUCCGGUGUAGCGGUGAAAUGCGUAGAGAUCGGAAGGAACACCAGUGGCGAAGGCGGGUCUCUGGGCAGUAACUGACGCUGAGGAGCGAAAGCGUGGGGAGCGAACAGG
rnacentral:rRNA from 1 species